UAUUAGAGGCCUUGAACUCUAGGCGUAGGGUGUAACAAACCUUAAAUUCUUCAGGUCCCUUCAACAUUAUUCCAGCACCACUGCCCCCAGCGCCUGAGGCUCCGUCCACAUACAGCUUCCAGCUAAAUUCUUGAUAGGACUGCCCUUCCCUCUCAUUCCCCAACUCUUCCAAAGAUGACUCACCCCGUCCCAUCUGUUCCUCAUUGAACGAGCACUCUGCUAUGAAGUCAACAAGGGCUUGAGAUUUUAUGGUGGUCCGGGGUCGGUACUCUAAACAGUAGGGGCUAAUUUCGAUGGACCAGGCAAGCAUCCGACCUGAUGUUUCCGGCUUGU
rnacentral:lncRNA from 1 species